UACAGAGGGUGCGAGCGUUGUUCGGAAUUAUUGGGCGUAAAGGGCGCGUAGGCGGUUGAUUAAGUCAAAUGUGAAAGCCCAGGGCUCAACCUUGGAAGUGCAUGUGAAAACUGGUCAACUUGAAUCUCGGAGAGGGUGGUGGAAUUCCCAGUGUAGAGGUGAAAUUCGUAGAUAUUGGGAGGAACACCGGUGGCGAAGGCGACCACCUGGACGAAGAUUGACGCUGAGGCGCGAAAGCGGUGGGGAGCAAACAGGG
rnacentral:rRNA from 1 species